rnacentral:misc_RNA from 1 species
AGCAGCCGCGGUAAUUCCAGCUCCAAUAGCGUAUAUUAAAGUUGUUGCAGUUAAAAAGCUCGUAGUUGAAUUUCGGGAUUUAUCCGUCGGUCGGGCUUUUGGGUCUGUACUGGCGUGAUGAAUUCCUACCUUCUGAAUAACCAGCAUGCCAUUAAUUUGGUGCGCCGGGGAAGCAGGACUGUUACCUUGAAAAAAUUAGAGUGCUUAAAGCAGGCUAUUGCCUGAAUACAUUAGCAUGGAAUAAUGAAAUAGGACGGCAUGGUUCUAUUUUGUUGGUUUCUAGGAUCACCGUAAUGAUUAAUAGGGAUAGUUGGGGGCAUUAGUAUUCAAUUGUCAGAGGUGAAAUUCUUGGAUUUAUUGAAGACUAACUUCUGCGAAAGCAUUUGCCAAGGAUGUUUUCAUUAAUCAAGAACGAAAGUUAGGGGAUCGAAGACGAUCAGAUACCGUCGUAGUCUUAACCAUAAACUAUGCCGACUAGGGAUCGGACGAUGUUAAUUUUUAACUGUACUCGUUCGGCCGU